UGUUGGAUGAUGAAAAGAAUCAUUCGGAUUCCCAAUGAUAUUUUCUUUGCCGAAAUAUGUGAUAUCCUAACCAGCUACUUCUGACAACA